GCAUAUCAAUAAGCGGAGGAAAAGAAACCAACAGGGAUUGCCCUAGUAACGGCGAGUGAAGCGGCAACAGCUCAAAUUUGAAAGCUGGCCUUCGGGUCCGCAUUGUAAUUUGUAGAGGAUGCUUUGGGUGAAACGCCAGUCUAAGUUCCUUGGAACAGGACGUCAUAGAGGGUGAGAAUCCCGUAUGUGACUGGAAAUGUUAACCUAUGUAAAGCUCCUUCGACGAGUCGAGUUGUUUGGGAAUGCAGCUCUAAAUGGGAGGUAAAUUUCUUCUAAAGCUAAAUAUUGGCGAGAGACCGAUAGCGCACAAGUAGAGUGAUCGAAAGAUGAAAAGCACUUUGGAAAGAGAGUUAAAAAGCACGUGAAAUUGUUGAAAGGGAAGCGCUUGCAAUCAGACUUGUUUAAACUGUUCGGCCGGUCUUCUGACCGGUUUACUCAGUUUGGACAGGCCAGCAUCAGUUUCGGCGGCCGGAUAAAGGCUCUGGGAAUGUGGCCUUCACUUCGGUGAAGGUGUUAUAGCCCAGGGUGUAAUACGGCCAGCCGGGACUGAGGUCCGCGCUUCGGCUAGGAUGCUGGCGUAAUGGUUGUAAGCGACCCGUCUUGAAACACGGACCAAGGAGUCUAACAUCUAUGCGAGUGUUCGGGUGUCAAACCCCUGCGCGUAAUGAAAGUGAACGGAGGUGGGAACCGCAAGGUGCACCAUCGACCGAUCCUGAUGUCUUCGGAUGGAUUUGAGUAAGAGCAUAGCUGUUGGGACCCGAAAGAUGGUGAACUAUGCCUGAAUAGGGUGAAGCCAGAGGAAACUCUGGUGGAGGCUCGCAGCGGUUCUGACGUGCAAAUCGAUCGUCAAAUUUGGGUAUAGGGGGCGAAAGACUAAUCGAACCAUCUAGUAGCUGGUUUCCUGCCGAA
rnacentral:rRNA from 1 species